UACGGAGGGUGCAAGCGUUAAUCGGAAUUACGGGGCGUAAAGCGCACGCAGGUGGCUGAGUCAGUCGAUUGUGAAAGCCCUGGGCUUAACCUGGGAAUUGCAGUCGAUACUACUCAGCUAGAGUAUGGGAGAGGGUAGUGGAAUUCCCGGUGUAGCGGUGAAAUGCGUAGAUAUCGGGAGGAACAUCAGUGGCGAAGGCGGCUACCUGGCCCAAUACUGACACUCAGGUGCGACAGCGUGGGGAGCAAACAGG
rnacentral:rRNA from 1 species